GGGAACAAACGGUAUUUCUUGAUUUGGAGAAAAGGACAGCCUUUGCGUUAGAGACUGGGUUUCAUCCUGAAGCACGGCUGGCUGCUGAAGUGCAACAUCUAAUGUCCUCACAACCUUCAUUUUGUUAAGCUUUUUAAAUUUUCGACCUCCCAGGACCAUUCCAGCUUGACAGCACUUCCUCAAGCGACACGCUGGACAGUUCUUCCUACGAAUUUUAUCAACUAUGCAGUCAU
rnacentral:lncRNA from 1 species